rnacentral:hammerhead_ribozyme from 1 species
AUCCAGCUGACGAGUUCCAAAUAGGACGAAACAAAUGUCCUGGAU